UACGUAGGGGGCGAGCGUUGUCCGGAUUCAUUGGGCGUAAAGCGCGCGCAGGCGGCCCGCGGCGUCGCCCGUGAAAGCCCCCGGCUCAACCGGGGGGGGACGGGCGAGACGGGCGGGCUGGAGGCCGGUAGGGGGGGACGGAAUUCCCGGUGUAGUGGUGGAAUGCGUAGAGAUCGGGAGGAACACCAGUGGCGAAGGCGGUCCCCUGGGCCGGGCCUGACGCUGAGGCGCGAAAGCGUGGGGAGCGAUCCGG
rnacentral:rRNA from 1 species